GGGCAUGGUGGGGAUGGGUUGGGGUUGGACUCGAUAAUCUUAGAGGUCUUUUCCAACCU
rnacentral:miRNA from 7 species